rnacentral:misc_RNA from 1 species
GACGAGGCAGAGGACGACCGCCUACCAAGAACAUCGAAAAAGAAAACCGAUAUGUGAAAUAUGAAGAUGACAACAUGUCGCCCCAAUAUGUUGAUCAGCUAGGCGAGAUGGAUGGCCAAAAGAAGCCCCUAUGUGGAAAUGGAAAUACGGGCGCAGGCGGAGAUGCAGUGGAGGAUACCCGGGAGCAGGAGUUUUCUGCUUGGCCGUUGCCGGUCAGUGGGGAGGGGGGUUUGGGUCUAGGAGCGGCGAGCCUUGUAAAUUUGAAUAUGCCGAUGGAUGAGGAUGAGGACUAUG